UACGGGGGGGGCAAGCGUUGCUCGGAAUUACUGGGCGUAAAGGGCGCGUAGGCGGUUGGAUAAGCCAGCUGUGAAAACCACGGGCUUAACUCGUGGCCUGCAGUUGGGACUGUCUGGCUAGAGUGUGGGAGAGGGAAGUGGAAUUCCUGGUGUAGCGGUGAAAUGCGUAGAUAUCAGGAGGAACACCAGUGGCGAAGGCGGCUUCCUGGACCACAACUGACGCUGAGGCGCGAAAGCUAGGGGAGCAAACAG
rnacentral:rRNA from 1 species